AGACGCUAUACUCCUUUUGAC
rnacentral:misc_RNA from 1 species